rnacentral:rRNA from 1 species
ACCAGCAGCCAUAUCAAUGCAACUCACAAUUGGCAACCCACUGAAAAAAAGCAGGUUUGAGCCUGGUCAGUACCUGGAUGGGAGACCUCCUGGGAAAAACUAAGGUUGCUACUGGAA